rnacentral:rRNA from 1 species
UAUUGCCUAGGGGCGCAGCAGUAGGGAAUUCUCGUCAAUGGGCGCAAGCCUGAACGAGCAAUGCCGCGUGAACGAGGAAGGUCUUCGGAUCGUAAAGUUCUGUUGAAGGGGAAAAAGAGCGGAGAGAGGAAAUGGUCUCCGAUUGAUAUUACCCUUCGAGGAAGUCACGGCUAACUACGUGCCAGCAGCCGCGGUAAUACGUAGGUGGCGAGCGUUAUCCGGAAUGAUUGGGCGUAAAGGGUGCGUAGGCGGCCUGCUAAGUCUGGAGUGAAAGGUACCGGCGCAACCGGUACAGGC